GAAUUUGUUUUUUGACAGCAUUGAAACAAAACAAAAGCAAUAGAGUGUCUCUGAGUUUUUAUGUUUAAAUUUUCACUUAUUUGUUUUCUUUUCGUUGCUUAACAUAUUUUUUGUAUACAAUAAUAAUAAGCUUCAAAAUUUUAUUUGUUUGAAAAAAAUUUCACGUCUUUCCGUAAUUUCGCCUUAAAACAGCAAAAACUUCCGAAUGCGCCUGCUAAAUUGAGUAAUGGGAUGUAGAAGUAGUCGACGAAGUAGAAGUCAUGGAUCGAGUAGGUCUUGCGAUCGCAAUUCGCAGCGCCAACGAUAUCCCACGAGUCAACCAUGCGAAAGACCGCGAGGUUGCGCGCGUAGGAAAACAAAACCGGAAUGCUGUAGUAAUACCGUAAAUCUCUCAUAUCAAUAUCCACAACAAACGCAGUCGGAGUGUUUUCCAGAUAUUUCGGAAAUACUUUCAGAAUAUUCAAAUGUUUCGGAAAUGCCGUCGUCUAAUAUGGAUUGUUGUAGCACCACUACGCGUGGCAAUCGUUGCAAUCGAUGCAAUGCAAGCGAAUGUACAUGUAACGAUGUGGGGCAACGAAAUGAAGAUAUUGGUUGUAAAACUGUGGUUUGUCUCACGUUCCAUCCGACGCAACGGAGGAGAAACUUUUAAUUGGGGAAUAUGAAAUGGAAAGUGUUAGAAGCUCGACUUUGUCUACACAUUAACGCUAAUAAAAUUGUGCAAGCACCAGAAAACUAUAAGAAUCCAGUAGCGACGUAAGCAUAAAAAAAAUUGUAAGGAAUCAUGGUGCAAUAGCAACUAUACAACCUCGCAUUCAGAAAAUCUUCUGUAACAAAUAUUUACCAACAAAAAUGUCGCUUUAAAGCCAGGCUCAUUGGAGGCGAGUGAUACUUUAAAACGGCACUUUUGCGGUAAAUCUAUGUUACAGACAUAAUUAUCGACGUUCAUCGUGGCAGUAGCUGAACACGAAUUCACUGGAUAUAAAAUUAUACUUAAACUGUAAUUAAAUUAAACACACAAUAAAUAUAUAAAUACCAUA